rnacentral:rRNA from 1 species
UGAGUAAUACAUAGGAAUCUGCCCAGUAGUGGGGGAUAGCCCGGGGAAACCCGGAUUAAUACCGCAUACGCCCUUUGGGGGAAAGCAGGGGAUCUUCGGACCUUGCGCUAUUGGAUGAGCCUAUGUCGGAUUAGCUAGUUGGUGGGGUAAAGGCCUACCAAGGCGACGAUCCGUAGCUGGUCUGAGAGGAUGAUCAGCCACAUCGGGACUGAGACACGGCCCGAACUCCUACGGGAGGCAGCAGUGGGGAAUAUUGGACAAUGGGGGCAACCCUGAUCCAGCCAUGCCGCGUGUGUGAAGAAGGCUUUCGGGUUGUAAAGCACUUUCAGUGAGGAGGAAAACCUUAAGGUUAAUAACCUUGAGGCUUGACGUUACUCACAGAAGAAGCACCGGCUAACUCCGUGCCAGCAGCCGCGGUAAUACGGAGGGUGCAAGCGUUAAUCGGAAUUACUGGGCGUAAAGCGCGCGUAGGUGGUUUGAUAAGCGAGAUGUGAAAGCCCCGGGCUUAACCUGGGAACGGCAUUUCGAACUGUCAGGCUAGAGUAUGGUAGAGGAGUGUGGAAUUUCCUGUGUAGCGGUGAAAUGCGUAGAUAUAGGAAGGAACACCAGUGGCGAAGGCGGCACUCUGGACCAAUACUGACACUGAGGUGCG